rnacentral:rRNA from 1 species
GACGAACGCUGGCGGCGCGCUUAACACAUGCAAGUCGAGCGAUGAAAUCUUAACAGAACCCUUCGGGGUGAAGAUAAGACGGAUUAGCGGCGGACGGGUGAGUAACACGUGAGUAACCUGCCUUUUACACAGGGAUAGCCUCAGGAAACCGGGAUUAAAACCUGAUGAAACUAUCAAAUCACAUGAUUAAGAAAGUUAAAACUCCGGUGGUAAAAGAUGGGCUCGCGUCCCAUUAGCUAGUUGGUGAAGGUAACGGCCCACCAAGGCAACGAUGGGUAGCCGGCCUGAGAGGGUGAACGGCCACAGUGGAACUGAGAAACGGUCCAAACUCCUACGGGAGGCAGCAGUGGGGAAUAUUGCACAAUGGGGGAAACCCUGAUGCAGCGACGCCGCGUGAGCGAAGAAGGCCUUCGGGUCGUAAAGCUCUUUUAUAUGGGAAGAUAAUGACGGUACCAUAAGAAAAAGCCCCGGCUAACUACGUG